CACGCCGUAAACGAUGUCAACUAGCCGUUGGGCUCCUUGAGGGUCUAGUGGCGCAGCUAACGCGAUAAGUUGACCGCCUGGGGAGUACGGCCGCAAGGUUAAAACUCAAAUGAAUUGACG
rnacentral:rRNA from 1 species